AACGUCAGGGCCGAGCACAUCUCGUAGAUGAUCCUGGUGCGCACCUGCCAUGUCAACGGCGGCGUGUCGCCCGCGCACGCGAGCCGGUCCUCGAGGCUGCCGUUCGGGAGGUACUCAUAGACCAGGCCGAACGCCUCCCGGCACGACCCGAUCAGCGCGACGAGGUUCGGGUGCCUUACUCUGCCGAGGACAGCAACCUGCCAUGGCGUUUAUCGCUGCAGGAUCAGACAUGACCGACUCUGUGAACUGACGCCAACGAUGAUCAACUGA
rnacentral:rRNA from 1 species